rnacentral:rRNA from 1 species
CUAAGCAUAUCAAUAAGCGGAGGAAAAGAAACCAACAGGGAUUGCCCCAGUAACGGCGAGUGAAGCGGCAACAGCUCAAAUUUGAAAUCUGGCUCUCGGGCCCGAGUUGUAAUUUGUAGAGGAUGCUUUUGGUGAGGUGCCUUCCGAGUUCCCUGGAACGGGACGCCAUAGAGGGUGAGAGCCCCGUCUGGUUGGACGCCGAACCUCUGUAAAGCUCCUUCGACGAGUCGAGUAGUUUGGGAAUGCUGCUCUAAAUGGGAGGUAUAUGUCUUCUAAAGCUAAAUACCGGCCAGAGACCGAUAGCGCACAAGUAGAGUGAUCGAAAGAUGAAAAGAACUUUGAAAAGAGAGUUAAACAGUACGUGAAAUUGUUGAAAGGGAAGCGCUUGUGACCAGACUUGGGCUUGGUUGAUCAUCCGGGGUUCUCCCCGGUGCACUCUUCCGGCUCAGGCCAGCAUCAGUUCGCCCUGGGGGAUAAAGGCAUCGGGAACGUGGCUCUCUCCGGGGAGUGUUAUAGCCCGUUGCGUAAUACCCUGCGGCGGACUGAGGUUCGCGCAUUCGCAAGGAUGCUGGCGUAAUGGUCAUCAGUGACCCGUCUUGAAACACGGACCAAGGAGUCGUCUUCGUAUGCGAGUGUUCGGGUGUCAAACCCCUACGCGAAAUGAAAGUGAACGCAGGUGAGAGCUUCGGCGCAUCAUCGACCGAUCCUGAUGUUAUCGGAUGGAUUUGAGUAAGAGCAUACGGGGCCGGACCCGAAAGAAGGUGAACUAUGCCUGUGUAGGGUGAAGCCAGAGGAAACUCUGGUGGAGGCUCGCAGCGGUUCUGACGUGCAAAUCGAUCGUCAAACAUGGGCAUGGGGGCGAAAGACUAAUCGAACCUUCUAGUAGCUGGUUUCCGCCGAA